AUUGAACGCUGGCGGCAGGCCUAACACAUGCAAGUCGAACGAGUGGCGGACGGGUGAGUACUGUAUGGGAAACUGCCUGAUGGAGGGGGAUAACUAAUGGGAACGGUAGCUAAUACCGCAUACAAUCAGAUGUGUCCAAAUGGGAUGUGCUAGUUGGUGGGGUAACGGCUCACCAAGGCGACGAUCCCUAGCUGGUAUGAGAGGAUGACCAGCCACACUGGAACUGAGACACGGCCGAGACUCCUACGGGUGGCAGCAGUGUGUAAUUUUGCACAAGGGGCGAAAGCCUUAUGCAGCCAUGCCGCGGGUAUGAAGAAGGCCUUCGGGUUGUAAAGUACUUUCAGCGGGGAGGCGUUACCCGCAGAAGAAGCACCGGCUAAAUCCGUGCCAGCCGCCGCGGUAAUUC
rnacentral:rRNA from 1 species